CAGUAGCCACGGGAAUACGAAGGGGGCUAGCGUUGUUCGGAUUUACUGGGCGUAAAGCGCACGUAGGCGGAUCGAUCAGUCAGGGGUGAAAUCCCAGAGCUCAACUCUGGAACUGCCUUUGAUACUGUCGAUCUGGAGUAUGGAAGAGGUGAGUGGAAUUCCGAGUGUAGAGGUGAAAUUCGUAGAUAUUCGGAGGAACACCAGUGGCGAAGGCGGCUCACUGGUCCAUUACUGACGCUGAGGUGCGAAAGCGUGGGGAGCAAACAGGAUUAGAUCCCCCGUAGUCCCUGUCUCUUAUACA
rnacentral:rRNA from 1 species